AUUGAACGCUGGCGGCAUGCCUUACACGUGCAAGUCGAACGGUAACAGGUCUUCGGAUGCUGACGAGUGGCGAACGGGUGAGUAAUACAUCGGAACGUGCCUAGUAGUGGGGGAUAACUACUCGAAAGAGUGGCUAAUACCGCAUGAGAUCUACGGAUGAAAGCAGGGGAUCGCAAGACCUUGUGCUACUAGAGCGGCCGAUGGCAGAUUAGGUAGUUGGUGGGAUAAAAGCUUACCAAGCCGACGAUCUGUAGCUGGUCUGAGAGGACGAUCAGCCACACUGAGACUGAGACACGGCCCAGACUCCUACGGGAGGCAGCAGUGGGGAAUUUUGGACAAUGGGCGAAAGCCUGAUCCAGCAACGCCGCGUGCAGGAUGAAGGCCUUCGGGUUGUAAACUGCUUUUGUACGGAACGAAAAGCCCCGGGUUAAUACCCUGGGGUCAUGACGGUACCGUAAGAAUAAGCACCGGCUAACUACGUGCCAGCCGCCGCAGUAAGAC
rnacentral:rRNA from 1 species